UACAGAGGGUGCAAGCGUUGUUCGGAAUUAUUGGGCGUAAAGCGCGUGUAGGCGGCUUUGCAAGUCGGGUGUGAAAGCCCUCGGCUCAACCGAGGAAGUGCGCCCGAAACUGCAGAGCUUGAGUACCGGAGAGGAUGGCAGAAUUCCCCAAGUAGAGGUGAAAUUCGUAGAUAUGGGGAGGAACACCGGUGGCGAAGGCGGCCAUCUGGACGGAUACUGACGCUGAUGAGCGAAAGCCAGGGGAGCAAACGGG
rnacentral:rRNA from 1 species